rnacentral:rRNA from 1 species
UAGGGAAUUUUCCACAAUGGACGAAAGUCUGAUGGAGCAACGCCGCGUGCAGGAUGAAGGUUUUCGGAUUGUAAACUGCUUUUAUCUGUGACGAAUAUGACGGUAGCAGAUGAAUAAGGAUCGGCUAACUCCGUGCCAGCAGCCGCGGUCAUACGGAGGAUCCAAGCGUUAUCCGGAAUUACUGGGCGUAAAGAGUUGCGUAGGUGGCAUAGUAAGCAGAUAGUGAAAGCGUGUGGCUCAACCAUACUCACAUUAUCUGAACUGCUAAGCUAGAGUAUGAGAGAGGUACCUGGAAUUCCUAGUGUAGGGGUAAAAUCCGUUGAUAUUAGGAGGAACACCGAUGGCGUAGGCAGGGUACUGGCUCAUUACUGACACUAAGGCACGAAAGCGUGGGGAGCAA